rnacentral:rRNA from 1 species
GAGCGGCGGACGGGUGAGUAAUGCAUAGGAAUCUGCCCGAUAGUGGGGGAUAACCUGGGGAAACCCAGGCUAAUACCGCAUACGUCCUACGGGAGAAAGGGGGCUCCGGCUCCCGCUAUGGGAUGAGCCUAUGUCGGAUUAGCUAGUUGGUGAGGUAACGGCUCACCAAGGCCACGAUCCGUAGCUGGUCUGAGAGGAUGAUCAGCCACAUCGGGACUGAGACACGGCCCGAACUCCUACGGGAGGCAGCAGUGGGGAAUAUUGGACAAUGGGGGAAACCCUGAUCCAGCCAUGCCGCGUGUGUGAAGAAGGCCCUCGGGUUGUAAAGCACUUUCAGCGAGGAAGAACGCCUAGCGGUUAAUACCCGCUAGGAAAGACAUCACUCGCAGAAGAAGCACCGGCUAACUCCGUGCCAGCAGCCGCGGUAAUACGGAGGGUGCAAGCGUUAAUCGGAAUUACUGGGCGUAAAGCGCGCGUAGGUGGCUUGAUAAGCCGGUUGUGAAAGCCCCGGGCUCAACCUGGGAACGGCAUCCGGAACUGUCAAGCUAGAGUGCAGGAGAGGAAGGUAGAAUUCCCGGUGUAGCGGUGAAAUGCGUAGAGAUCGGGAGGAAUACCAGUGGCGAAGGCGGCCUUCUGGACUGACACUGACACUGAGGUGCGAAAGCGUGGGUAGCAAACAGGAUUAGAUACCCUGGUAGUCCACGCCGUA